CCUACGGGAGGCAGCAGUAGGGAAUCUUCCACAAUGGACGAAAGUCUGAUGGAGCAACGCCGCGUGAGUGAAGAAGGGUUUCGGCUCGUAAAGCUCUGUUGGUAGUGAAGAAAGAUAGAGGUAGUAACUGGCCUUUAUUUGACGGUAAUUACUUAGAAAGUCACGGCUAACUACGUGCCAGCAGCCGCGUUAAUACGUAGGUGGCAAGCGUUGUCCGGAUUUAUUGGGCGUAAAGCGAGGGCAGGCGGUUCAAUAAGUCUGAUGUGAAAGCCUUCGGCUCAACCGGAGAAUUGCAUCAGAAACUGUUGAACUUGAGUGCAUAAGAGGAGAGUGGAACGCAAUGUGUAGCGGUGGAAUGCGUAGAUAUAUGGAAGAACACCAGUGGCGAAGGCGGCUUUCUGGUCUGCAACUGACGCUGAGGCUCGAAAGCAUGGGUAGCGAACAGGAUUAGAUACCCUGGUAGUC
rnacentral:rRNA from 1 species